CCUACGGGUGGCUGCAGUCGAGAAUCAUUCACAAUGGGGGAAACCCUGAUGGUGCGACGCCGCGUGGGGGAAUGAAGGUCUUCGGAUUGUAAACCCCUGUCAUGUGGGAGCAAAUCAAAAAGAUAGUACCACAAGAGGAAGAGACGGCUAACUCUGGGCCAGCAGCCGCGGUAAGACAGAGGUCUCAAGCGUUGUUCGGAAUCACUGGGCGUAAAGCGUGCGGCGGUGGUUUCGUAAGGCGUGUGAGAAAGGCGCGGGCUCAACCCGCGGACGGCACAUGAUACUGCGUGACUGGAGUAAGGGAGAGGGAAGCGGAAUGCGCGGUGUAGCAGUGAAAUGCGUAGAUAUCGAGAGGAACACUCGUGGCGAAGGCGGGUUCCUGGACAUUAACUGACGCUGAGGCACGAAGGCCAGGGGAGCGAAAGGGAUUAGAUACCCGAGUAGUC
rnacentral:rRNA from 1 species